rnacentral:ncRNA from 1 species
ACCAAGGAGUUCAGUAGGCACGCGAGUCGUUGACGUUUUUCAUUGAACAGUCGAAGGCGAAAUGAAAGUGUUAAUGAAAAUGAACUGUACUUCUUUAUGGAGUGCUGUUCAAUUUUUCAACAUGAUCGUCCUUUUUUGUGCUUAAUUGUGCAAAAUAAUAGAUGUAUGGGGACGCGCAGUGUGGUGCCGUUGAAUAGUCGCACUGUUCUCUCUUUCUCUUCGGGGUUGGAGGAACAAUUGUCGAUCAGUCGGUUUCGGAGCGUGCACACUGGUACCCGAAAGAUGGUGAACUAUGCUUGAGCAGAAUGAAGCCAGAGGAAACUCUGGUGGAAGUUCGUAACGGUGUUGACGUGCAAAUCACUCGUCUGACUUGAGUGUAGGGGCGAAAGACUAAUCGAACCAUCUAGUUGCUGGUUCCUUCCGAAGUUUCCCUCAGGAUAGCUGGCAUUUGUUUGUAACAAUUUUAUCCGGUAGAGCGAAUGAUUAGAGGUGUUGGGAACGCAAUGUUCUCAGCCUAUUCUCAAACUUCGAAUGGGUAAGCAAGGCGUUUUGCUUUGAUUUUACGAUGAAAUCGCCCAAUUAGAAUGUAUGAAUGCCUAGUGGGCCAAUUUUGGUAAGCAGAACUGGCGAUGUGGAUGAGCCAAAAUCAAGUUAAGGUGCCAGACAUUGGCGCUCAUGAAAUACCAAAAAGGUGUUGGUCGAUAUAGACA